AGUGAACGCUGGCGGUAGGCCUAACACAUGCAAGUCGAACGGCAGCACAGUAAGAGCUUGCUCUUACGGGUGGCGAGUGGCGGACGGGUGAGGAAUACAUCGGAAUCUACUUUUUCGUGGGGGAUAACGUAGGGAAACUUACGCUAAUACCGCAUACGACCUACGGGUGAAAGCAGGGGAUCUUCGGACCUUGCGCGAUUGAAUGAGCCGAUGUCGGAUUAGCUAGUUGGCGGGGUAAAGGCCCACCAAGGCGACGAUCCGUAGCUGGUCUGAGAGGAUGAUCAGCCACACUGGAACUGAGACACGGUCCAGACUCCUACGGGAGGCAGCAGUGGGGAAUAUUGGACAAUGGGCGCAAGCCUGAUCCAGCCCUACCGCGUGGGUGAAGAAGGCCUUCGGGUUGUAAAGCCCUUUUGUUGGGAAAGAAAAGCGGCAGGUUAAUACCCCGCUGUUCUGACGGUACCCAAAGAAUAAGCACCGGCUAACUUCGUG
rnacentral:rRNA from 1 species